UACGUAGGGACCAAGCGUUGUUCGGAUUUACUGGGCGUAAAGGGCGCGUAGGCGGCAAUUCAAGUCAGCUGUGAAAUCUCCGGGCUUAACUCGGAACGGUCAGCUGAUACUGCUUUGCUAGAGUGCAGAAGGGGCAAUCGGAAUUCUUGGUGUAGCGGUGAAAUGCGUAGAUAUCAAGAGGAACACCUGAGGUGAAGACGGGUUGCUGGGCUGACACUGACGCUGAGGAGCGAAAGCAUGGGGAGCGAACAGG
rnacentral:rRNA from 1 species